GAGAGGUUAAAUGAUUUGCCUGGGAUCACUUUAUAAGGGCAUGCUGGUAAAUGUUUAACAAAUGGCUUUAUGAGAAGGGGGGAAAAAGUAUACACAUGACACACUUUUUAAGAUUAAUCUGCUUCACAUCUGGUCAUAGACACUUCCUAGCUUAACCCCGACUGCUAGCUUUUGCAGCUCUUCUGCUUUAGGAUUGAUACUAAUACAAAAGCUAAAAGAGAAGCCUACUGCAACAGGGGAUCUUUGGACUCAUUUGGAAGAACUGUGCCUGCCCAAACUGGACAUUCAGAAGCCAUUCAGGGGUCAGACCCACUGCUGAUCUGCAUGGAGACGUUAAUAUGUUCUGUUUCCAACCUGGGUUGGUUUGCUCCUCCUUAUGUAGCCAUAUGGCCUCGAACUUCCAGUGACUCACUGCACUUGUGCCUUAGUGCAGACACUCAAUCAGCUUUAAUUGAUUAAAUUAACUUAUUUGUCAUAAGUGAAGACUCUCUAGUAGAAGGAGAGUAAUGAAGGUAAUGUAAAAAAAAUAUAUCAAUUAAAAUUUAAUUUAAAAAAUGAAUCUAUGAUUAAAAG